rnacentral:rRNA from 1 species
CCCCUUGGUAUUCCAUGGGGCAUGCCUGUUCGAGCGUCAUUUGUACCUUCAAGCUCUGCUUGGUGUUGGGUGUUUGUCCUUGCUCCUAGGGAGUAGGACUCGCCUUGAAGUAAUUGGCAGCCAGUGUUUUGGUUUGAAGCGCAGCACAAGUCGCGAUUUAAGCUGAAUCAAUAGCUCUCCAUUAAGACAUCUAUCACUUUUGACCUCGGAUCAGGUAGGGAUACCCGCUGAACUUAAGCAUAUCAAUAAGCGGAGGAAAAGAAACCAACAGGGAUUGCCCCAGUAACGGCGAGUGAAGCGGCAACAGCUCAAAUUUGAAAUCUGGCUCUUUCAGGGUCCGAGUUGUAAUUUGCAGAGGGCGCUUUGGUGUUGGCAGCGGUCCAAGUUCCUUGGAACAGGACGUCACAGAGGGUGAGAAUCCCGUACGUGGUCGCUAGCCUUCGCCGUGUAAAGCCCCUUCGACGAGUCGAGUUGUUUGGGAAUGCAGCUCUAAAUGGGAGGUAAAUUUCUUCUAAAGCUAAAUACUGGCCAGAGACCGAUAGCGCACAAGUAGAGUGAUCGAAAGAUGAAAAGCACUUUGGAAAGAGAGUCAAAUAGCACGUGAAAUUGUUGAAAGGGAAGCGCUUGCAGCCAGACUUGCCUGUAGUUGCUUAUCCGGACUUUUGUCCGGUGCACUCUUCUGCGGGCAGGCCAGCAUCAGUUUGGGCGGUUGGAUAAAGGUCUCUGUCAUGUACCUCUCUUCGGGGAGGACUUAUAGGGGAGGCGACAUGCAACCAGC